rnacentral:rRNA from 1 species
UACGUAGGGCGCAAGCGUUGUCCGGAAUUAUUGGGCGUAAAGAGCUUGUAGGCGGUCUGUCGCGUCUGCUGUGAAAAUCCGGGGCUCAACCCCGGACUUGCAGUGGGUACGGGCAGACUAGAGUGUGGUAGGGGAGACUGGAAUUCCUGGUGUAGCGGUGAAAUGCGCAGAUAUCAGGAGGAACACCGGUGGCGAAGGCGGCUUGCUGGGCCAGUUCUGACGCUGAGGAGCGAAAGCGUGGGGAGCGAACAGG